GCUAAAACCGCCCGCCAAUCGGGGCGACGCCUUCGUCUUGCCGGGCGACUCGUGGGGUAACUUGCACUUGGGAUUCAGCACCAUGGCGUCGGGCUGCAAGAUUGGCCCGUCCAUCCUCAACAGUGACCUGGCCAACUUAGGGGCCGAGUGCCUCCGGAUGCUAGACUCUGGGGCCGAUUACCUGCACCUGGAUGUGUCAGGGACCCAUCUGCUGCUGCUUUCUCAGGCCGUUAGCAGGAAGCUGGAUCAGAAGUGGAUCAGCUGGACACCAACCAGGCCUUGCAGGCAGCUGCUUUACCAGCUAUGCCAUUAUGCCCACCCUGGGCAUUUUGUUCCCAACAUCACCUUUGGUCACCCUGUGGUAGAAAGCCUCCGAAAGCAGCUAGGCCAGGACCCUUUCUUUGACAUGCACAUGAUGGUCUCCAGGCCAGAACAGUGGGUAAAGCCAAUGGCUGUAGCAGGAGCCAAUCAGUAUACCUUUCAUCUUGAAGCUACUGAGAACCCAGGGGCUUUGAUUAAAGACAUUCGGGAGAAUGGUAUGAAGGUUGGCCUUGCUAUCAAGCCAGGAACUACAGUAGAGUAUUUGGCACCAUGGGCUAAUCAGAUAGAUAUGGCCUUGGUUAUGACAGUGGAACCUGGUUUUGGAGGACAGAAAUUCAUGGAAGAUAUGAUGCCAAAGGAGUCACUUAUUUCCUCGUGUAUAUCUAGGUUCACUGGUUGAGGACCCAGUUCCCUUCUUUGGAUAUAGAGGUCGAUGGUGGAGUAGGUCCUGACACUGUUCAUAAGUGUGCAGAGGCAGGAGCUAACAUGAUUGUGUCUGGCAGUGCCAUUAUGAAGAGUGAAGACCCCAGAUCUGUGAUCAACCUGUUAAGGAAUGUUUGUUCAGAAGCUGCUCAGAAACGUUCUCUUGAUCGAUGAAACCACAAAGAUCCCAAAGUUCCUGCUUAUGGAAUCUUUUUACUUGGAAAAUAGGAAUAUUGAUUUCCAAAUCAUAUCACAAUUGAGGCAGUGCUGCUUUGCUGAGCAAUUAUUCAUUCCCAUGAUUAAAACCUAUUGUGCAGUGUUCUAGAAGGUUAGGAAUUGGUAUGUAUAACUACAAUUUUAGAGAUGCAAUUUAAAAAUUAAGUGUGAUAGAAUACUCUGUUUUUACUGGGAUGCUUGACUUUUAUAAAGUAAAACUAUUAAGAUUACAAACAGAAAUGUAUCUUAAUCCCUAAGAAGGCAUUUAGUUAGCUACUUCGAAAAAAAAUUUUUAUUUCUAAAAAUUUUCUGCUUUUUCUCAGCUAUUUUCCAAAAGCAAAGGAAAUGUUUAUGUCUUUGGUAUUUCAUGUCAUUUGUGAUUUGUUUAUGUUUGACAAUAUGAGUACAAUGGAACUUAAAAAUAUAAGCUUGGGUGGGAUGGCAUACCAUUUUCUUGCAUCUUAAACAUUUAUUCUUCACUUUUCACCUCAUACUUGAUUCAUAAAAGCUAUCUAAACCAUAUGUGAAAGCCUAGGAGUUCUAAAAUAUAAGUAUAGAUUUUUAUCAAGGUGUUAAUUCUGUCAGAGCAGUUAUUCAGUAAUUCCCAUCACCAUUUUUCUUAAUUUCACUCACUAUUCUUAAGGAUAUUUAAAUAAUGCUGUUGUGUUAGCUCUGAGUAGAAAGAAAAAGUAAAGCUUCUAUUUGGAAAAAAUAUUGGUUGAAUCUUGCCUCUGCCCUUUUCUGGCUAUUUGUCCUUUUCCAGUCACCCAUCCUUUCUUGGUCUUCUAUUAACUCAUUUAUUUGUUGUAUGUAAUUACAACAAUGCAGGGUUUUGGUGACCAUUAAAACAAGUAAUGUAUAUAAAUCUUCUACUACUGUUUUCAGAAAAUUUGAGGAAGCUCAAUAAAAAGUGGCCAGCAUUA